rnacentral:lncRNA from 1 species
GAGUCUUUGUCAUUGGAUAUAAUACCAAGGAACAAGACUGAAGCAGCCUUCUGUGGGAAUGGACUUUCAGACCCAGAGGACUUCAGUAAGAUGGAAUUUUAUGGGCUGGAGAGAUGGCUCAGUGGUUAAGAGCACUGACUGCUCUUCCAAAGAUGGGCUAGAACAGUGAGCUGAUGGAUUCUCUGCCUGUGCUGUAUUUCUGCAAUGAAUGUAGACACGUGAUUACCAUACACAUGAUGGUCUAGAUCCAAAGUCGGGUAUGAAAUUCCAGCGGUCAUGUUCAGGCAUAGCUUAACAUAAGAGUCACCUCGAUGAGCAACGGCUUAAUUUUCAGUGACAUUUUGAGUCUGUAGAUCUGGAC